rnacentral:rRNA from 1 species
GACAGAGGGUGCAAACGUUGUUCGGAUUUACUGGGCGUAAAGCGCGUGUAGGCGGCUUUGCAAGUCGGAUGUGAAAGCCCACGGCUCAACCGUGGAAGUGCAUCCGAAACUGCAUGGCUGGAGUCUCGGAGAGGAAGGUGGAAUGCUUGGUGUAGAGGUGAAAUUCGUAGAUAUCAGGAGGAACACCAGUGGCGAAGGCGGCUUUCUGGACGAUAACUGACGCUGAGACGCGAAAGCGUGGGGAGCGAACAGG